CGCACAGCUGGGUGUUUUAUUUCCAAUUAACCAGAACUAACAAGCAGAUAGAAUUGGUCUCAUAGUGACACCAGAACAGAUCCAGGGAGUGUGUGAGAUACUGCCAUAAAGAGACCAGCCACCCGACAGCACACUGCUAAGACAGGACAAAGAACUGCUGAUUAUAUUACAUUUCAUUUGCUAAGUAAUUCCGAACAUGGCCUAGUGCUUCUAAAAAAACCUGUAUAAAAUGAGUAUUUUUUACAUCUCAGGCACAUGGAUACAAAUCUGAGCUAUUUUAUAUAUACAGACAUUUACAUUACAUGAAAAUCUGAGUGGAGAUCAAAUGAAAAAUAAAAGCUUUUAUAAAAAGUACCCCAAACAGCAGAGAUGAAAUGUGACAAUACAAUGCAUUCUCACAACAGAGGAGUAAAAGGCACAAAUACUAAAAUGUAUAACCAUGCAAAAAAUGUACGUCCGACCUGUGCAACAAAGCAAAACAAACGGCUCCCACAAGUGGUUUUACAGUAAUUCUCAGCACAUCACAGUAUUGAAACAUACUGUAAGUGCAACAUUUACUGCCCCGCAGCACAGUGAAGUGUUCACACCAUACCAAAUUCUCCCUUCCCAUUUCCUUUCUCCAAAGCCAGGAUAAUUUAGCUAAGGAUAAAGUAUUAAAUCAAAUGGAGCUGACGUUGGCUGGUGUAACACAAUCAAUGCUCCAGCUGUCUGGGUGGAAGAGUAAGUGCAGCCCUUCUGCAUCCACUACUUACUGCAUAUUGAACGCGUGUCUACCAGAGCAACCCCUUCCCUGCCCUUGGUCAGGGCACAGUGGGCUUUGCAGAGGUUUGCCAGGGUGAAUUUCACUCUGCUGAGAGCGGUGAUGUGAAAGCUGACAGCUCAAAUGUCACAGUUGCACCACUAACAACACCUACAUAAGUAACAAACACAGAUUCUAGGGCUAGGUAGCCAAAAUAUACCAAGGAAGUCCAUGUUUAUUAAUGCUUUCUUCACUAGGCUAAAGUUUAAGUUAAAAAUACUCUCUCCCUAAUUAUAUGUUUCAAUGUGUACUGCUCUCACAGUUGAAAUAAAUUCAAGACCAAAGCCAAUAAACCAAAGGAAAAAAAGAAAAAGAAAAGUGCAUAAGGAAGGCAAUGUAGCACUGCCUGCUGGCUCUGCACUGUCACAAACUGCCUGCAGUCACCCAACCUGCUGAUGUUUCAGUCUGAAUGGGCAGCUGCCAUUAUCUGUAAGUUAUGCUUGCUAGGCUAAGCCAGUAGGUUCGUGCCUUGCAAACAGUGUACAAUUACAGCACGCCAUUGGAUAGCUACACAGGAUCGAGGUAAAGCUUACAGGGAUGCCCCAGUGCUGCGGACUUUAGUCUCACUCACAGUGGGACUGAGGUGGUCCUUCCCUCUGAGCCUCAGCAUAAACCUCAACUUUGUCCUUCAGUGUUCAACCUGCAACUGCUGUAUUUUGAUACAGAAGACUGAAUGACCACAAACGAGAUCUCAGGUGGAAAAAAAAGCACAUGAAACAUUUAUCAGUGCUAAGGGCAGCCAUGAGAGGCUUCUCUGUGGGUGCCAUCAGUUCUUCCUUCUUCAUUUCUUUUUAUUUUUUCCCCCGAGCAUAACAGAACUCUUCUCUCUUUCCUUUCUUUAGUGGUUAUAGAAAACAAAGGGUGAGAGGCAGUAGGUGAGAAUUUUCUCUAAAUCUUUUUAAAAGGACAACAAGCUACUCACAGUGGGGAUUUCACACCUCUUCUAGUCACUAUAUAAUAAAAAACCCUAAUAAAUAUAAUCCACAGCUCAAGUUCCGCAUUAUUGUGUGCUAGACACACAAGCCUUUGGUCAAAUUACUGAAAGAUUUUGUUUGUAGUGCUCAGCUGAACCAACACUGUCUCCUAAAACAGAGAAUAACCACAGAAGCCCCAGCGAAGCCUCCCUCUGUGCAGAACAGAACCCUUGCAAGGAUUAUAGGAUUCCAACCAACAUAUGUGCAAAGCUUCCAUAAAUGAGAAGAAACUCACACAUGCUACACGCUUCAACACCAAGCUGCCCUGGGAUCAAUAUUUUGGAUUGAGAAAUACUGAGAAAACAAUCCCAAGGUGCUGCCAUGGAACAACGUGCCAGCAGCUGCUGAACGCUUCCUUUCCUUUGAAAUCAGCUGCUGGCUAUACAAGCAGUCAUGCUUUCUUGAGUAUGCUCCUUAAGUAACAAACGACCUAACAAGAGCACGAAUACUACUGCUUAUGCCAGAACCAAUGCAGUUACUGCUUAGUUAAAGUUUGAGUCGGUUUUCACUGAACUCAACGUAAACCACUGAGUGUCAGAUCAGCUGUUGCUUCCUUCCUUGGAAAACAUCCAUGCAGUAUUUGUUUUAAGAAAAAAACACUGUAUACUCACUGCCACUAAAGAAGAAAAGAAGUAUUUACUUGUAAGUUCUAGUUCAAAGACUCAUUGCAUGCCAUUAGCACUAUGACCCAGAGACUGCUGAACAGCGACUGAUGCAGGCCACGAUCAAGGUUCACACACACCUUCCAAACACUCAAUUACUAAACAGAUUAGGCAGUCUAGGUACAGUAGGCCAAGAUCCCUUCUGGAGAGUAGAACAGAGCCUUGCUGCACUCAGACAGCAAGGUGUUUGCUGAUACACCCGUUAAUUAAUGACACUGCACUCAAACGCCUACAGAGCUGGCUGACAACCAUCUGAAUUUCUCCCAAGACCAUAAAAGUAAAGUUUUGGCAGCAAAAGCGUAUGGAUGUUUUUGAGACUUGCUAGAAAUCUAUGUGUUGAUGACUCCUUUGGAAAUAGAUUGGAUGGUUACAGUUUGUCACUGUCACACUUCAAAACACAGCAAGCAACUUGAGUCUUUAUUACAAGUUACUAAAAGAGCUGAAAAAUGCUCCGCUGUCAGUACAGUUUUGGAUCAGCACCAUGCUCUGAAACCAGUAGCUGAAGGCUGGCAUUUGGAGUGAAGCAGC
ensembl:lncRNA